CAUAAAUAAUUUGAUUAAAUUCGUGAUUUGGUUCUGAAUAAUAAUAUUCUCUGAUAUUUUUUACAUAUUCUGUUUGUUUAUUUACUAUUUGUUUAUAACUUUAAACCAGUUUGCACUAAAAUCCGUGCAGUACCCUUAAUCAUCUGGUUUCACGAUCAGAGGCCGGUCCUUCUAUAGAUAGUCGUACUUAGGAGGACGAUAAUUUGGCCGCUAGAUGUCUCCCGUGAGUUAUUCAUGGACGGACAGAGUUUCUCACGCCAUAAGUUGGAUUUAGUGCGUGAAAUCGGCGGAUCUGAGGUCGAAUUUUAUAUUAAAAGGCUUUAUUUACAAGUGAAAUCUGUUGUGUUUCUUAGCCUAGUUUAAACAGUGGAAUAGUUAUUAACCCAUUGAUUCCAAUAGCGUCGUUUUUUGAUCUGUUUAAAACUUUUAAAUUUGGAAAGAAUUUCUUGUUCUUUUUAUCUUGUUUCUAUACUCUUAUUAAACUUUAUGUUUUCUUAUUCUUAUUAAACUAAAUUCUUAUUUGAGCAGUGCAUCUUAUUGGGUUAUAUUUUUGUUCUUGCACUUAAUGUACUUUUGAUUUAGCAAGUGUUUGUGUUUGUUCAUUGUGGUUUAUAUCGGUUCAGCAGUAUCCUCAAGCAAACUUAUUGCUUAUCCUUAAGCAAACUUAAUGCUCAAGACCCUGCUGGAUCUACCCUAACGCUGCUCAACCCCGAUCAGCGAAACAAUUUUUGAAACCGCUGUGCUGUUAUCAAUCUGUGACCUGAACGGGACCCUUUCUAAGAAGAUUGUAUUUAUUAAUAAAGAUUUAUGUUACUCAGA